GUUUUCUUGAUAGCACUUGAGAAUUUCAGACUGCAGACUGGCACAGACAGGAUCAGUGUUCCUCCUCUUUAUCCAUUCCUCUGCCUUGGUGGCUGCCUCCUGGUACUGCUCCGACGUCAGCUUGUAGAUUUCUGCAUUCUUCCUCUCAAUGCGGGCCAACUGCUCUUUAUAGAAGGCUUCUUGCCGCUUCAGCUCUGCCUCCCUGCCUUGCAGCUCCAGGGCCCAGGCGUCC
rnacentral:lncRNA from 1 species